GUCCCUGUAGCGCAAUGGAUAGCGCGUUGGACUUUUAAUCCAAAGGUCGUGGUUUCGAAUUCCACCUGUGAUG
rnacentral:tRNA from 1 species